CGAUGAAGCCCUUCGGGGUGGAUUAAUGGCGAACGGGUGAGUAACACGUGGGCAAUCUGCCCUUCACUCUGGGACAAGCCCUGGAAACGGGGUCUAAUACCGGAUAUGAGCCUGGGAGGCAUCUCCCGGGUUGUAAAGCUCCGGCGGUGAAGGAUGAGCCCGCGGCCUAUCAGCUUGUUGGUGAGGUAAUGGCUCACCAAGGCGACGACGGGUAGCCGGCCUGAGAGGGCGACCGGCCACACUGGGACUGAGACACGGCCCAGACUCCUACGGGAGGCAGCAGUGGGGAAUAUUGCACAAUGGGCGCAAGCCUGAUGCAGCGACGCCGCGUGAGGGAUGACGGCCUUCGGGUUGUAAACCUCUUUCAGCAGGGAAGAAGCGCAAGUGACGGUACCUGCAGAAGAAGCGCCGGCUAACUACGUGCCAGCAGCCGCGGUAAUACGUAGGGCGCAAGCGUUGUCCGGAAUUAUUGGGCGUAAAGAGCUCGUAGGCGGCUUGUCACGUCGGGUGUGAAAGCCCGGGGCUUAACCCCGGGUCUGCAUUCGAUACGGGCUGGCUAGAGUGUGGUAGGGGAGAUCGGAAUUCCUGGUGUAGCGGUGAAAUGCGCAGAUAUCAAGAGGAACACCGGUGGCGAAGGCGGAUCUCUGGGCCAUUACUGACGCUGAGGAGCG
rnacentral:rRNA from 1 species